rnacentral:rRNA from 1 species
AUUGAACGCUGGCGGCAGGCUUAACACAUGCAAGUCGAGCGGAGCGAGGGUGCUUGCACCUUAGCUUAGCGGCGGACGGGUGAGUAAUGCUUAGGAAUCUGCCUAUUAGUGGGGGACAACAUCCCGAAAGGAAUGCUAAUACCGCAUACGCCCUACGGGGGAAAGCAGGGGAUCUUCGGACCUUGCGCUAAUAGAUGAGCCGAAGUCGGAGUAGGUAGUUGGUGGGGUAAAGGCCUACCAAGGCGACGAUCUGUAGCGGGUCUGAGAGGAUGGGCCGUCACACUGGGACUGAGGCACGGCCGAGACUACGUCGGGAGGCAUCAGUGGGGAAUAUUGGGCACUGGGCGAAAGCUUGAUCCAGCCAUGCAGCGUGUGUGAAGAAGGCCUUUUGGUUGUAAAGCACUUUAAGCGAGGAGGAGGCUACUUAGAUUAAUACUCUGGGAUAGUGGACGUUACUCGCAGAAUAAGCACCGGCUAACUCUGUGCCAGCAGCCGCGGUAA